CCUCAGACUCCUUAUUUUGUUUUCUAAUCAAUGUCUUCAUAUGAUCACCCUAUCCAAUUUCUAUAUCUGCCAUAUCACAUCACUUUCCUGGAGUCAGUCGAAAACACAUUAAUCUCUUGUUACUUUGUUGCUGUCGUUUACAUGUACUGUAUUCUUCUAACUGCCUCCAUACUCAUCCUAUAUACAGUCCUUUUCUCCUAACUAUCUUUCUCUUUUUCAAUUCACCCCCACCCCCCACCCCCUUGGCUUCUG